GAUGAACGCUGGCGGCGUGCCUAAUACAUGCAAGUCGAGCGAACGGACGAGAAGCUUGCUUCUCUGAUGUUAGCGGCGGACGGGUGAGUAACACGUGGAUAACCUACCUAUAAGACUGGGAUAACUUCGGGAAACCGUAGCUAAUACCGGAUAAUAUUUUGAACCGCAUGGUUCAAAAGUGAAAGACGGUCUUGCUGUCACUUAUAGAUGGAUCCGCGCUGCAUUAGCUAGUUGGUAAGGUAACGGCUUACCAAGGCAACGAUGCAUAGCCGACCUGAGAGGGUGAUCGGCCACACUGGAGCUGAGACACGGUCCAGACGCCUACGGGAGGCAGCAGUAGGGAAUCUUCCGCAAUGGUCGAAAGCCUGACGGAGCAACGCCGCGUGAGUGAUGAAGGUCUUCGGAUCGUAAAACUCUGUUAUUAGGGAAGAACAUAUGUGUAAGUAACUGUGCACAUCUUGACGGUACCUAAUCAGAAAGCCACGGCUAACUACGUG
rnacentral:rRNA from 1 species